rnacentral:rRNA from 1 species
GAUGAACGCUGGCGGCGUGCCUAAUACAUGCAAGUCGAGCGAACGGACGAGAAGCUUGCUUCUCUGAUGUUAGCGGCGGACGGGUGAGUAACACGUGGAUAACCUACCUAUAAGACUGGGAUAACUUCGGGAAACCGUAGCUAAUACCGGAUAAUAUUUUGAACCGCAUGGUUCAAAAGUGAAAGACGGUCUUGCUGUCACUUAUAGAUGGAUCCGCGCUGCAUUAGCUAGUUGGUAAGGUAACGGCUUACCAAGGCAACGAUGCAUAGCCGACCUGAGAGGGUGAUCGCCCACACUGGAACUGAGACACGGUCCAGACUCCUACGGGAGGAAGCAGUAGGGAAUCUUCCGCAAUGGGCGAAAGCCUGACGGAGCAACGCCGCGUAAGUGAUGAAGGUCUUCGGAUCGUAAAACUCUGUUAUUAGGGAAGAACAUAUGUGUAAGUAACUGUGCACAUCUUGACGGUACCUAAUCAGAAAGCCACGGCUAACUACGUG